GAUGAACGCUGGCGGCGUGCCUAAUACAUGCAAGUCGAGCGAACGGACGAGAAGCUUGCUUCUCUGAUGUUAGCGGCGGACGGGUGAGUAACACGUGGAUAACCUACCUAUAAGACUGGGAUAACUUCGGGAAACCGGAGCUAAUACCGGAUAAUAUUUUGAACCGCAUGGUUCAAAAGUGAAGGACGGUCUUGCUGUCACUUAUAGAUGGAUCCGCGCUGCAUUAGCUAGUUGGUAAGGUAACGGCUUACCAAGGCAACGAUGCAUAGCCGACCUGAGAGGGUGAUCGGCCACACUGGAACUGAGACACGGUCCAGACUCCUACGGGAGGCAGCAGUAGGGAAUCUUCCGCAAUGGGCGAAAGCCUGACGGAGCAACGCCGCGUGAGUGAUGAAGGUCUUCGGAUCGUAAAACUCUGUUAUUAGGGAAGAACAUAUGUGUAAGUAACUGUGCACAUCUUGACGGUACCUAAUCAGAAAGCCACGGCUAACUACGCG
rnacentral:rRNA from 1 species